rnacentral:tRNA from 1 species
UGUAGCUCAGUGGUAGAGUGCUUGCCUUAUGUGCAUGAGACCCUGGGUUCAAUCCUUAGCA